rnacentral:rRNA from 1 species
UACGGAGGGUGCAAGCGUUAUCCGGAUUCACUGGGUUUAAAGGGUGCGUAGGUGGGAAUGUAAGUCAGUGGUGAAAUCUCCGUGCUUAACAUGGAAACUGCCAUUGAUACUAUGUUUCUUGAAUUUUCUGGAGGUCAGCGGAAUAUGUCAUGUAGCGGUGAAAUGCUUAGAUAUGACAUAGAACACCAAUUGCGAAAGGCAGCUGACUACAGGGACAUUGACACUGAGGCACGAAAGCGUGGGGAUCAAACAGGAUUAGAUAC